rnacentral:tRNA from 1 species
CCGCCCUUAGCUCAAUUGGAUAGAGUAUCAGAUUCCGAUUCUGACGGUUGCAGGUUCGAUUCCUGUAGGGCGGG